CAUUAAAUAACUUAAGUAAGUAUUGGUCUCUUAAACCAAACAAUAGUAGCCUAACAAUUACUUUUAAUGA
rnacentral:tRNA from 1 species